AACGAACGCUGGCGGCAUGCUUAACACAUGCAAGUCGAACGAGACCUUCGGGUUUAGUGGCGCACGGGUGCGUAACACGUGGGAACCUGCCCUUAGGUUCGGAAUAACUCCCCGAAAGGUGUGCUAAUACCGGAUAAUGUCUUUGGGCCAAAGACUUACUGCCUUGGGAUGGGCCCGCGUGGGAUUAGCUAGUUGGUAGGGUAAUAGCCUACCAAGGCGACGAUCCAUAGCUGGUCUGAGAGGAUGAUCAGCCACACUGGGACUGAGACACGGCCCAGACUCCGACGGGGGGCAGGAGAGGGGAAUAGUGGACAAGGGGCGAAAGCCUGAUCAAGCAGUGCCGCGUGAGAGAUGAAGGCCGUAGGGUUGUAAAGCUGUCUUACCCGGGAUGAGAAUGACAGUACCGGGAGAAUAAGCACCGGCUAACUCCGUG
rnacentral:rRNA from 1 species